UUUGAUAUCUUAAAUAAUAGUUUUGCUCAAUGAUGUUAUACUAUAUUAUUAAUAUAAAAGGUAUUAUUAAAAGUAGUAGUUUUUCACUAUCAAGCCUAAAGGUCUUGAACAUAUAUAACGACAAAGAUCAACCAAAAGGAAUAUUGCUCAGAACAAGUAAGAAAGUUAUCUGUGUUGGUUAAUUCAUCGAGAAUACCCAACCUGUGUCAUUACUGAAUCUACAACCUGCAAAUCUGAUUGCUUGGCAGUAACCAAAAUCUGGAACUCAACACAUCCAAUCACCAAUUCAUGGCUGUUUCAGAGGUAUUUAUAUUUCUUCUUUUGGUACAACACUGAUUGAUAUUUUUGUUUCCGAAUUAUUUAUAUUACCAUCCAAAAGGGAUUAUUUUGAGUGUCAGUAUCAGUUUUAUGCCUGUUGGUGUUUGUAAAAUUAUCAGAAACCAAAUUUGGAAAGAGGAAAAACAUGAAACUGCUUUUUCCCUGUAUGGGAUGAUGUUUAAUUCUCUAAUGGCAAAUGCUUCUUUUAGACCA